GCGUUAGGGAAACGCCCGGUUACAUUUCGAACCCGGAAGCUAAGCCUUUCAGCGCCGA
rnacentral:rRNA from 1 species